GGGGGGGGGGGGGGUUGGGGGGGGGGGCCGCUGCUUUGCUUGCUUCGACGGAGGCAACAACUAGCAGAGAAAAGAACAAGAGAGAUUGGCCUCUGCAGAGGCCAGAGCCAAAGCUGCCGAAGCCGCCUGGAAACGGAAUAGAUUUGUAAAUUUUUUUUUUGCUGUGCUUCUGUGUUGAAGAGGAUUCUGCUAUUGCUACGAAACGCCAUUAUUGCAGGCAAGAACAGUUUGAAAAGUCAGCUGCUGGAAAAGCUGCACGUGCACAGAUGCAAGGAAUGGCAAAACAAUCUUCAAAUUCUGACACCGGCGAUUCAGUUCUUAAGUGGCAAAUGAGUUGAGGUUGUGCCUGUUGCCUGCUUAACUACAACUGUUUAUUGUAAAUAUUAUGAUUCGUUCAACCGAUAUCUCUACUUUGCCAUAAGCAAAUGUUCAGUAACACAACAUCCAUUUUACCGUCAGUUAAAAGUUUUCUGUAAUUGCUUUCUUUUUUAAUUUAUUAACUAUGGAUUCGGAAAAUAAAGUUGAAAAGAUUUAAAUUAUUUAUCUUUUA